UACGGGGGGGGCAAGCGUUGUUCGGAAUUACUGGGCGUAAAGGGCUCGUAGGUGGCCAACUAAGUCGGACGUGAAAUCCCUCAGCUUAACUGGGGAACUGCGUCCGAUACUGGAUGGCUUGAGUUUGGGAGAGGGAUGCGGAAUUCCAGGUGUAGCGGUGAAAUGCGUAGAUAUGUGGAGGAAUACCGAUGGCGAAGGCAGCCUCCUGGGCCAACACUGACGCUCAUGCACGAAAGCGUGGGGAGCAAACAGG
rnacentral:rRNA from 1 species